rnacentral:rRNA from 1 species
GGCGUAGGGUGCGAGCGUUGUCCGGAUUUACUGGGCGUAAAGAGCGCGCAGGCGGCUGGUCAAGUCCGAUGUGAAAUCUCCCGGCUCAACUGGGAAACUGCAUCGGAAACUGAUCGGCUUGAAGAUGGGAGAGGGUAGUGGAAUUCCCGGUGUAGUGGUGAAAUGCGCAGAUAUCAGGAGGAACACCUAUUGCGAAGGCAGCUCGCUGGGACGUAACUGACGCUGAGACGCGAAAGCGUGGGGAGCAAACAGG